rnacentral:rRNA from 1 species
UACAGAGGUCCCAAGCGUUGUUCGGAUUCACUGGGCGUAAAGGGUGCGUAGGUGGUCGGGUAAGUUUAAGGUGAAAGCACCGGGCUCAACCCGGAAAUGGCCUUGAAUACUAUCCGGCUCGAGGGUUGGAGGGGGGACUGGAAUUCUCGGUGUAGCAGUGAAAUGCGUAGAUAUCAAGCGGAACACCAGUGGCGAAGGCGAGUCCCUGGACAACUCCUGACACUGAGGCACGAAAGCUAGGGGAGCAAACAGG